GAGGAGGAGAGAGGGGAGGAGAGGAGGAGGAGAGGAGAGAGUAGGAGGAGAGGAGAGAGAGAAGGAGAGGAGAGGAGGAGAGGAGGAGGAGGAGAGGACAGAGGGUAAUGGACCAGCGUCCUGUGAGGAGCCAUAUGAUGUGUGAUAGGCCGGUGCUUCAGCCCAUCAGACGGCUCCAAGCUGUCCUGUAUAUCAAAGCACUUACUAACUAAACACCGCUUCAACAUGUAACCAUGGAUACGACCCCCUACACACACAAUACACACAUUACACUCACACACACACACGCCCUACCUGUGAUGUCAUAACCUCGCUGUGAUGUCAUAAACUCCCUGAGAUGUCAUAACCUCGCUGUGAUGUCAUGGCUCUGUGCCAAAGAUGCUGAUCUAGGAUGCUGAUGUUCACGAGCAGACUAAUAAAGUUUAUACGCACACA